rnacentral:lncRNA from 1 species
AAAAAGAUACCGCGACUUCGGUCUUUUUCAAUAAAAUCAUCACGUAAUAAAUCAUCCAUAUUUGUAGCAAUGAAUCCAUAUUUGUAGCAAUGAAAUAAUAUUGUUCCUUUCCUAUCGUUGAUCAGAGAUUUCUAUAUGAAAAAUACGAAUCGGAGUUUGAAGAAGGGGAAGGAGCCGUCGACCCGCAACAACAGGUUUUUGUUUUUCUAAUGAAGGGGGUUUUCUUCUUC